UACAGAGGUCUCAAGCGUUGUUCGGAUUCAUUGGGCGUAAAGGGUGCGUAGGUGGCGCGCUAAGUCAGGUGUGAAAUUUCGGAGCUUAACUCCGAAACUGCAUUCGAUACUGCCGUGCUUGAGGACUGGAGAGGAGACUGGAAUUUACGGUGUAGCGGUGAAAUUCGUAGAUAUUCGCAAGAACACCAGUGGCGAAGGCGGCUCACUGGCCCGGUACUGACGCUGAGGCACGAAAGCGUGGGGAGCAAACAGGG
rnacentral:rRNA from 1 species